rnacentral:rRNA from 1 species
AACGCUAGCUACAGGCUUAACACAUGCAAGUCGAGGGGCAGCAUGGUCUAGCAAUAGACUGAUGGCGACCGGCGCACGGGUGAGUAACACGUAUCCAACCUACCGGUUAUUCCGGGAUAGCCUUUCGAAAGAAAGAUUAAUACCGGAUAGCAUAGCGAGAAGGCAUCUUCUUGCUAUUAAAGAAUUUCGAUAACCGAUGGGGAUGCGUUCCAUUAGUUUGUUGGCGGGGUAACGGCCCACCAAGACAUCGAUGGAUAGGGGUUCUGAGAGGAAGGUCCCCCACAUUGGAACUGAGACACGGUCCAAACUCCUACGGGAGGCAGCAGUGAGGAAUAUUGGUCAAUGGACGAGAGUCUGAACCAGCCAAGUAGCGUGAAGGAUGACUGCCCUAUGGGUUGUAAACUUCUUUUAUAUGGGAAUAAAGUGAGCCACGUGUGGCUUUUUGUAUGUACCAUACGAAUAAGGAUCGGCUAACUCCGUGCCAGCAGCCGCGGUAAUACGGAGGAUCCGAGCGUUAUCCGGAUUUAUUGGGUUUAAAGGGAGCGUAGGCGGACUAUUAAGUCAGCUGUGAAAGUUUGCGGCUCAACCGUAAAAUUGCAGUUGAUACUGGUCGUCUUGAGUGCAGUAGAGGUAGGCGGAAUUCGUGGUGUAGCGGUGAAAUGCUUAGAUAUCACGAAGAACUCCGAUUG